rnacentral:rRNA from 1 species
ACCGUGCAAGGUAGCGUAAUCACUUGUCUCCCAAUUAGAGACCCGUAUGAACGGCUACAUGAGGGCCAAACUGUCUCCUACAACCACUCAAUGAAACUGAGCUUUCAGUUCAAAAACUGAAAUAAGCCCAUAAGACGAGAAGACCCCGCGGAACUUUAAACAACCCACUACUAAGACUUGCCCCGGCUAACUCGGCCACUGACACUUUAGAUAUAGUAGGACUUUCGCUUUUAGUUGGGGCGACUACGGAGAAAAACGAAACCUCCAUGAACAGGGAUAAACAUCCAUACCAGGACAACAAGCCAAAGAUACUAACAACUUUGACCCAGUAAACUGAUCAUCGAACCAAGUUACCCCGGGGGUAACAGCGCCAUCCUCUUUUAGAGUCCCUAUCGCCAAGAGGGCUUACGACCUCGAUGUUGGAUCAGGACACCCUGGCAGUGCAGCCGCCGCCAAAGGUUCGUUUGUUCAACGAUUAAUGCCCU